rnacentral:rRNA from 1 species
GUGCCAGCCGCCGCGGUAAUACGGAGGAUCCAAGCGUUAUCCGGAAUCAUUGGGUUUAAAGGGUCCGUAGGCGGUUUUGUAAGUCAGUGGUGAAAGCCCAUCGCUCAACGGUGGAACGGCCAUUGAUACUGCAAGACUUGAAUUACUAGGAAGUAACUAGAAUAUGUAGUGUAGCGGUGAAAUGCUUAGAUAUUACAUGGAAUACCAAUUGCGAAGGCAGGUUACUACUAGUGGAUUGACGCUGAUGGACGAAAGCGUGGGGAGCGAACAGGAUUAGAUACCCCCGUAGUCC